UACGGAGGGUGCAAGCGUUGUCCGGAAUCAUUGGGUGUAAAGGGUGCGUAGGCGGGAGCCUAAGUCUGUGGUGAAAUCUUGCCGCUUAACGGUAAAAUGGCCAUGGAUACUGGGUUUCUUGAGUACAGAAGAGGCCGGUGGAAUUCGUAGUGUAGCGGUGAAAUGCAUAGAUAUUACGAAGAACACCAGUGGCGAAGGCGGCCGGCUGGGCUGUUACUGACGCUGAGGCACGAAAGCGUGGGGAGCGAACAGG
rnacentral:misc_RNA from 1 species